UACGGAGGGUGCAAGCGUUAUCCGGAUUCACUGGGUUUAAAGGGUGCGUAGGCGGGCAGGUAAGUCAGUGGUGAAAUCCCCGAGCUUAACUUGGGAACUGCCGUUGAUACUAUCUGUCUUGAAUACUAUGGAGGUAAGCGGAAUAUGUCAUGUAGCGGUGAAAUGCUUAGAUAUGACAUAGAACACCAAUUGCGAAGGCAGCUCACUACACGAAUAUUGACACUGAGGCACGAAAGCGUGGGGAUCAAACAGG
rnacentral:rRNA from 1 species